UUAACUCCUUAAUAGUUUUUAAACCAUUGAAAUUUAAACAAAGAGGCUUUUUAAAUCAAAAUGGUUUUAUUUUUGAAUUCUUUUGCUACACAUGAAGAUGACAGCUUAGGAAAUGGAAAUGUAUUGCUUUCAUCAAGGCAUAUAUAAAGUACUCAAUAACCACUAAGUAAGCAUUGUAAACCAAGAAAUGCUCCAAAAUAAUCAAGUGCACAUCUGGCAAGGCAGCUGAAAAUUCAAGUAUAAAUUGUGUCAAUUUACCCUACAAAUUAAUGAAGUCACAGGAAUACAAAGAGAUGUGGACUUUCUUUGCACAUUGAAGAACAAUUGCAUCUCACUUACUCAGAGCAAAGCAUGUCAUAUCCUGCAGAGGAGAUGCAUGACAAAAGUGAGAAAUGUGAAAUAGUGACAUGAACUAGAUGAGAAGUAUUUAUUCCCAUACUUGUAAAAUUUCCAGAACUACUGGGUUAUAGCAGGUGGUAACAUCCAGGAUAGUUCAGUCCCUUCUCUAACAUCUGGUGUUCUGUUACAAGAACAAGAUGGUCAAAUAAAUAGUACUGGACUCCUGGUCAAGUCAACCUCACUAGUUCUAGAGUAUUAUGUUCUCCAUUUCUGACUUGAAUCUUACUUCACACAAAGUACAAUAACUUAGAGACCUAAGAGAACCUUUCACUUGUGUUUUGGGCAUAAAGCUGUUUGAACUUUACCUACUGAAUUUUACUUCACAGAUUAAAUAGAAAAGUCAUCAGUUUACCUGCCUUGACAGAGUUUAGGUAUAUAUCUUGCAUUCUAGGCAUUUGAUAAAGUGCAUCUUCAGGUUAGGGAAGAUUUCUUCAGAAAUUGCCUCCUAUGAAUUGGGAGCAAAUUAAAGAGGAAUUUUUUGGUCUAAGUUUAGGAUUUUGAUAUAGCUCACAGUGAUUAUAUAAUCAGUUGUGAAUCUAAUUAAUUGUGUUUUUUUCCUUUAUGUAUCCUUUCAUCUUACUCUGUACGGAUUCUUCAGUAAGAAGGAAAUUUUAAGGACUGACUGUGUUGUAAAGCAGGUGGUGGGUGCAUCUGUCCAGAGGAGGAGCACAGACCUCAGAGUUUUUGUGGUACAUAUGAGAAGUCUCCUUACCUGCCCUUGAAGCCAAGAUU
rnacentral:lncRNA from 1 species